GGGCCCUGUCGCUUGCCGCCGGACAAGCUUUUCCAGGAGCUUCUGGAGGCAGCUCGGGGAUCCCCGGCUGAUCGCAGCCUAGCGUAGCAGAGACCUGAGGACAACCGCCCUUAGAUCCUCUGCCUUCCUCUGGUCCUUUCCCCUCCCUGAAGGGGAGGACUUGGGGGAGAGGUUAAGGGCACCGGCUUUGAAGUCCCAUCCCAGCCCUGCCUUGGACGGGCGCGGUGUUUCACGCCUGUAAUCCCAGAAUUUUGAGAGGCUGAGACGAGAGGAUCUCUUGAGCCCAGGAGUUGGAGACCAGCCGGGGCAACAUGGACUGACUGCUAGCCGUGCUGCCACAUACCCACGCCACGCGCAGUGUCUCCCACCGCCACCGCCCCAUGUCACAGUGGUGGUGUUCCGUUCAACACUCCAGGGCUUCCUCGACUGGGGUGAGCCGCACACAAGAACCACCUUUUCUU